AGCAGCCGCGGUAAUUCCAGCUCCAAUAGCGUAUAUUAAAGUUGCUGCAGUUAAAAAGCUCGUAGUUGAAUUUCGGGAUCAAUAUGUUGGUCGUGCCUCGGUACGUACUAGCUUAUUGGUUUCUCCCUUCUGACGAACCAUGAUGUCAUUUAUUUGGUGUUAUGGGGAAUCAGGACUGUUACUUUGAAAAAAUUAGAGUGUUUAAAGCAGGCUUACGCUUGAAUACAUUAGCAUGGAAUAAUGAAAUAGGACGUUUGAUUCUAUUUUGUUGGUUCCUAGGAUCGACGUAAUGAUUAAUAGGGAUAGUUGGGGGCAUUAGUAUUCAAUUGUCAGAGGUGAAAUUCUUGGAUUUAUUGAAGACUAACUACUGCGAAAGCAUUUGCCAAGGAUGUUUUCAUUAAUCAAGAACGAAAGUUAGGGGAAUCGAAGACGAUCAGAUACCGUCGUAGUCUUAACCAUAAACUAUGCCGACUAGGGAUCGGAUGAUGUAAUUUUUAAUGACUCA
rnacentral:rRNA from 1 species